CCUCCGCGGCUCUCGCAGCCGGCUCCGCUCCCGGCUCGGCUGCGCAUCGCGGGAGCGCUCUGACAGCACCUGCAGGACAGCGCGGGCACUCGGAGCCGGGAAGGGGAAUAAGUUGGCUACAUUAUCUUUGGAAAAUGAAGGAAGGAAUAGUUUAGGACAUGACCAUUCAAAAACUCUUUGGUGGGGGUGGAAGUUUCAGCAACCAGUUCUUUUUUUCAGGUUCCUGUUACGCAGCUGCUGUUGACCCUACUCUUGAUUCAGAAAGCUCUAGGUUUUAGAUCUGUUGUACUGAAUGUAAAAGGCCUGGAAAAAGCAAGACUGGACAGAGACUGACAAGAUAGACUUCCAAUCAGUCAUGUUACAAAUAAAAAAAAGUAUUCAAAGUGGAAGAAGCACGGAGGAGGGACUGCUGUGGGAAUGAAAAAGAAAAAUGGGGGCAUGGGAACUGCCUCUGUGUGCCGACAUCCUCAGCCUUUCCUCCCGUGGCUGCUCGGGGUGCUGGGGUAGCCCUCGGGGUUUUGGGAGGUCACAGGUGAUCACAUUUACGAGAGGAUAAAAAAGAAACUAUCACUCGUUGAGAAGACUUUUCACGGGAUUUGUGAUAACUCUCCAAAUUCUGAAGCCUGCUGAAAUUUUCCUUGACAGCCUAAACCAAAAUGUGCAGCUCCACCUGAGGCAUCUAAAGGGUACUGAAAGUGCAGGAACUCUCUUCAUAAAGGAAAACCUGCAUGGGCACUCACCCUGGUUUCCCUACAGCUUUUCCCUAAGACUAAAAUUUGCUUAAGGAAAGUUUCAAUAAGAAGGCAGAUUCGAUGGCUGAGUCCCACAGAGCAAGGGGCUGGGAAGAAAGAGCUCUUCAGCUUCUUCUGCACCACACUGGACACCAGUUACUGCCCCUGUGCCAUGUCUGCAUUUUGUGGGGUCAUUUAUGAGGCAGAUCAAUGGAUUGAUCCCUGCUAAGAGUAACCAGUCAGGAAGAUCAAUUAACACACUGAAAGACUUCUAAAUUUAAUCGCUCUGACCCCAGACUAUCCUGAGCAGUCUUUGCAUGGCUGGCAGUACAGAAGGAAUGGAUUUGCCAUAGUUCAGACAACUGAAACUCAGAAAAGAUCCAGUGUAAAAGAAAUGGAGCCAGGAGGUGGCUGUGUCGUGCAGACACUGAUGUGAGCACUGCUGGGCAAAUGUCUGUGGGCCUGGCUGCUGGCAUUAUCUUCUUCUCCAAAAUGAAGUAAUUGGGUUUCCCAAAGCUCCUUCCAAGGGAUAGCUGGGUACAGAGACACCUCUAUGUCUCUAUAUGCUUCCAGAGGGGCCCACAGCUACAGCUUGAAAGGUGGGCAACCUUCUACAUCCAAGCCUGUCUCCUUCCUUACCAAUCCUGCCUCCUGGCCACUGUGUCAGCCUUUGUGUCGUUGGAAGAAGAUGGACAGCAAAAAAAGGUUGUAUUCACCAGUGGAUCAGAUUUCAGAUGCUGUGUAGAUAAAUAAGUCCUGCCAUGAUGAUCCAGAAGAAUAGUUUCUUGGGAUAGCUACCAGGUGACUCCUUCACUACACAGUGAAGCUUGAGGAAGACAUGAGCAAGACAGUUUCUCCCAGUAGCAGAGGAUCAGACUUCAUGAAUGAGGAAUUUCCAUGUUUCUGUGAAAACUGACCACUCAUCCGUAAUUUAAUAACAUAAAACACAUAAACAUAUGAAACUCUUCCAUGUAUAUUUGCCAGUAAUAUGGGACUCACCUUUCUCAAAAGGGCAAGAAGAUCUUUGCUCAUGAGCCUGCAGGGCUCACUGACAGAGCUUUACACUACGGUAGGACAGGGGCAGUGGUUUUAAAGGAAAAGAGGCUUGAUUUAGAUCAGAUAUAUGGAAGAAGUGUUUUACAAUAAGGGGAGUAAAACACCAAUACAGGUUGCCCAGAAUGGUGGUGGAUGCCCCACCCCUGGAAACAUUCAAGUCAGGUUGGAUGGGGGGCUCUGAGCAACCUGAUCUAGGUGAAGAUUUCUCUGUUCAGUGCAGGGGACUUGGUCCAGAAGACCUCUAAAGGUACCUUCCAACACCAAGUGUACUAUGAUUCUAUGAAAGUUUCCAGAUAUAUUCUUUAGUCUCUUUUUUGUCUUUUAAAUAAUUUCCUUUCCUUUUCUUUAAUUUUUCCUGCUAUAUUUCACUUUCCUCGUUACUAUGCACUUGCUCACAAGUAGCAGUUGCUCUGCAUUAGAGCUGAUUAAAAGCAUAAAGAAAUGUAUUGAAGAAAGAAGUUACUAUAGUCACUCCUGAAAUGUUUGCACAGCCAUUUCAUGCUUUCAGAAAGUUCAAAAUAGUGGGAAAAAGCACAAAUGGAAAAAAGUUAGGAAGAACUGAAGAGAUUCUUCCUGACAGUCAGUAAAAACAUACAUUUCCAAAUAUUUCUGCAUUACAUUUUCAACUCCCAUUUUCCCCCCAAGUCUCAAAUGCCCACCUCUCAGACCAAGGUAGUUUCUCUUGUUUCGAUUCACUUUUCCACGGUGCAGACUGCUUGGCUUUUUAAGUCUGGAGAAUUCUUCUACCUACAAACAAAAAUCAAUGCAUAUCCUCCUUAGAGCAGAUAAGGGCCUCAACGGUCCUUCAUCAGUCUUCUGAUGAUGUUCAUUAUUUUAGGUGCCUGGCCUGUGAUUCUGAAUAGGGCAGAACAGAUGAGAUGUCUUUCUCUAGACACAUUCCUCAUCAGCCUUUUUGAACUCCCAUCGAAGAGUUGCUGUUUAUUCUCUCCUCACACCCACUCAGCCUCGCUGCGCCUCAGCAGCUGCCGUAAAAUUCUCCCCCUGAUGCUGAUGCAUAACUCACAUCUGCAUUAAUCAGAGCAUAGAUGGAGAAGCAGUGAGAGGGAAAAUAUACCCUCGUGAAUUUGGAAGCUCUGAGAGCAUCUAAGAAUAUGUGUUAUCCUUUCCUUGAGUGUACUAUUAAAAAUAAAAUAAAGCAUCUCAAACGCACAGGAUUAAGUUCAAGAUGCACAGACAUCUGAACUAAGGAGGGUUCAAUUUUUCCUUGUUUCUCUGGUGUUGUUCAAGUCUUUUGAAAAACAAGCAAACAAUAAACAACUGCAAGGCACUCUGGAGAAUAUUUCAGCCCAGCUGUGCUAAAGUAAAAUGUUAAAUACUGCAUACAAUGACACUGAAACUUUGCUCAAAUUGUCAUAAGUCUCGCUUGUCACAAGCAUUUACAUUAGCUGCUGAACACUGAACUGACUCCACAACAUGUCUAAGCAAAUUACAAAGCAAAUAAGGAGAAAAAAAAGAAAAUAAAAUUACUUUUCUUCCAUAAAUUGCUGUUAUAUACUACAGAGGUCAUAAGAAAAAAGUGCCAAAGAAACGACAGUACAUAUUUUCUCGGUUUUGAGAAAAAGCUAUCAGGAGGGGAAAAUAAAGAAAACAAACAGAAAAAGAUGCAUUAAAAAAUAAAAAUAUUAGGCUGAGAAAAUUAGACAAAUUGAGCCACCAUCACAGAGCAGAUAAGCUUAUCAUGUUUUAAAGAGAGAGUUAUAUUUUCAGUAGCAGAUAUACUAAUAUCUUUCUCACAGACAUUUAUUCAGUGAUUUGAGGCUCAGCAGAAAAGAAACUCCUAAUUUUCCACAGGCAAAGAUAUUCAGUAGCUUGUCCCUGGAUGCCCAGGGAAUAUGAACCCAAGUCUUCCCCUCUCCAUGCACCUCAUAGUCAAUGUUAUUAUUAUAAGAAACAAUAUUAUAAAAAUGCAAGUU